AACGAACGCUGGCGGCAUGCCUAAAAAAUGAAAGCGGAAGGAACCUUCGGGGCUAAGGGCCCAAGGGGUCGUUACGGGGUGGGAACUUGCUUUAGGGUCGGGAUAACCCAGGAGAAUUUUAAGUUAUACCGGGUGGAUGCUUUGGACCAAAGAUUUAUCGCCUUUAGAUGGGCCCGCGUUGGAUUAGCUAGUUGGUGGGGUAAAGGCCUACCAAGGCGACGAUCCAUAGCUGGUCUGAGAGGAUGAUCAGCCACACUGGGACUGAGACACGGCCCAGACUCCUACGGGAGGCAGCAGUGGGGAAUAUUGGACAAUGGGCGAAAGCCUGAUCCAGCAAUGCCGCGUGAGUGAUGAAGGCCUUAGGGUUGUAAAGCUCUUUUACCCGAGAUGAUAAUGACAGUAUCGGGAGAAUAAGCUCCGGCUAACUCCGUG
rnacentral:rRNA from 1 species